rnacentral:rRNA from 1 species
ACGAACGCUGGCGGCGUGCUUAACACAUGCAAGUCGAACGGUGAUCUUGAGAGCUUGCUCUUGGGUGAUCAGUGGCGAACGGGUGAGUAACACGUGAGUAACCUGCCCCAGACUCUGGAAUAACCUCGGGAAACCGUGGCUAAUACCGGAUACGAAACGAAGCUGCAUGGCUGUCGUUUGGAAAGUUUUUCGGUCUGGGAUGGACUCGCGGCCUAUCAGCUUGUUGGUGAGGUAAUGGCUCACCAAGGCGACGACGGGUAGCCGGCCUGAGAGGGCGACCGGCCACACUGGGACUGAGACACGGCCCAGACUCCUACGGGAGGCAGCAGUGGGGAAUAUUGCACAAUGGGCGAAAGCCUGAUGCAGCGACGCCGCGUGAGGGAUGACGGCCUUCGGGUUGUAAACCUCUUUCAGCAGGGAAGAAGCGAAAGUGACGGUACCUGCAGAAGAAGCACCGGCUAACUACGU